CCUACGGGAGGCAGCAGUAGGGAAUAUUGCUCAAUGGGGGAAACCCUGAAGCAGCAACGCCGCGUGGAGGAUGAAGGUUUUCGGAUUGUAAACCCCUUUUGUUAGAGAAGAUAAUGACGGUAUCUAACGAAUAAGCACCGGCUAACUCCGUGCCAGCAGCCGCGGUAAUACGGAGGGUGCAAGCGUUACUCGGAAUCACUGGGCGUAAAGAGCGCGUAGGCGGGAUAGCAAGUCAGAUGUGAAAUCCUAUGGCUUAACCAUAGAACUGCAUUUGAAACUGUUAUUCUAGAGUAUGGGAGAGGUAGGUGGAAUUCUUGGUGUAGGGGUAAAAUGCGUAGAGAUCAAGAGGAAUACUCAUUGCGAAGGCGACCUGCUAGAACAUAACUGACGCUGAUGCGCGAAAGCGUGGGGAGCAAACAGGAUUAGAUACCCUAGUAGUC
rnacentral:rRNA from 1 species